UUUUCCCCAUAAAGAAUUAUGUAUGAUUUCUUCUGCAGGUUGUUCUAGUUCACCUAUUUAAUUCUAAAAAAUAUUUUCAGGCUGGAUGGUUAGUAUUCAGUCAGAGGGACAGAUCCUGGUGCAUCUCUCUGUGAUGAGUAUCAUGGGAGAGAAAUGCUUUGUUGCAUUCGUUGACAUACAUUAUGGAUAAGGAUAAGUAAAAUAUUUCUACUUGAGUAGUAAGCAUUGUGCUUUGACUUACAAAACCAGAAAGUUGGUAUUUUUCAUUUACUCCCGUAGAACGAAGUAGGCAUUUAUGAAUAACGUGUAUGGGUCCCAGUAGAAGUGAAGCUAAUGGAAAAGAAAUCAAAUCACUUGUUUUGCUCCUGGGGUCUGGACUGUGUUUUCUGAUGCAAAGUUAUCCUUUUUCCAUCAGUGGGAUUAAUUCAGAUACUGAAAUUCAGUUUACAUUGCAAUCCUAUCUGUGCCUUUCAAAAGUCAGUGCAACAAGAGCAUGCAGCAUACAUAUCAAGACUGUGUAAAAUUAUAACUAGGGAUCGGCAAAGUCAGUGGGACUGGGGGUCAAAUUCUUGUUCUCCAUAACCCACCACGGGUCAGAUGGGCCCUUCCAUUUACUCUUUAAAGGUGGGGGACUUAGGGGACAUCACAAGAUCUCUAAGCUCCAGAAGGUGGAGGUAGGACUUUAUUAGCCAAAAAGAGAGGGUUUUUUUGCACCACCACCCCCCCAGUUAACUUUUUGGUGCCACCUUUUUUAUUUUGCCUAGCUUUUUGUGGACUGCAGCCCACUUUGGGUUUCAAGAAAUAGGCUACAGUCUAUGAAGGUCUAUACCAAAUGAAACAGGCUGGUCUUUAAGGGGCCACAAGGACACUACAGUACUUGGAAAUUUUCUACAUGGAUUUUUAAAAGUCAUGUUUGCUGAAAGAGCAUUCAUCUUUGCUGGUUUUGCUGCAACGGAUUGCAGGCUAACAUAGCUCCCUCUCCGGAAAUUUGAGAUCCUCUCCUACAUCUUUUCAUAUAGGAGAUUCCUGUUUAUAUAUAUAUAUAAAACAGGAAUCUUGAAGGUGCAAACUGAGAUUGAGACCAAGUUCUAAAGAGGGCCAUUGCUUAGCAGUAGAGCACCUGCUAUACAUAUAGAAGAUCCCACAUUCAGUCGGUGGUACAGUAUCUCCAGACAGUGGUGUGCAAGACUCACGCAUGAAACCCUAGAGAACCACUGCUGAUCGAUGUAUAAGGCAGCCUUCCCUGUCACUACAUUACAUGGGAAAUGUACUUUCAGAUCUUUUUCUCUCCCUGUUUUUCAGCUGCUGUCAGAGAGAAACUGAAAUGAACUCAUUCUUUAUUGGAAACUGACAGAGCUAUCUAUAUGCUAUGCAAGAUAAAUGUGGAACACGGCACCCAAAGCUAAUUUGCCAGUAGCUAACUGGUGACAGAAGGCAUGGAAGAAGAACUGUGCAUUCUACAGACACUGGAACCAUCCAUCGAUUGCAGUUUCUACUGUAAAGCUCUGUAUAGCAGGGCAAAUACUCACUUUCACGAAAUGGACGUCAUGAUAAAAAGAACUUCCCGAUAAGGAAAGUCACAGGGUGCAAUAUAACGGUAGUCCUCCACUCAUCAUGUGCUUUAUCUUCCAGUCAAUUGUAAGAUUUACUGCUCUUGAUAAAGACUUUUAUUUUAUUGGUAGCACUAGGACAGUGUUAUACCAUAUCAAAGAAUGGUGGUGUUUUGAAGAUCUCCUGUCUUGUGUUCACAGUCUUUAAAUGUGUUGUUCAUGUCACAGAUGGAAUCUGCUGACACAAUGCUUAAGACAGAAAUCCAGAGGCAUGAGUAGAGAAAGUGUAUGAUAAAUUGUUGACAUGACAAACUUUCCAUUUAUUCAUCCUUGGGCUAUUAUCUAGAUUAUUAAUUUUUUAAAACAAAGUCAGUUCUUAUUUUUCUCCUUUCAUUUCACUGCAUUUGCUGAAUGUUUACAAGCAAAAAAGGAGGGAAAGGUGCCAGUAAUGAAACUCUGAACAGCUGAUGGCCAUCCAUGACUUGAAAAACUAUACAUACUUCUUUUGUUUGCUUAUUUUAGAUGGCCUGUAUAGCAACUACAAAUAACCUUUUUUCACAAUAAAGUUGUGGGUUGUUAUUGAACUGUCAAAAUACAA